rnacentral:lncRNA from 1 species
GAAAUCUGUUCUAUAUUUUUUCCAGAACUGAUGAAAAUAAUUCAAGAAAACUGGGCAGGUUUCGGGGGGGGGGGUGCGGACAACACAGUAUUGUUCAAUAUAGUUUUAAAGCUAGGAAGAAAGGAAAUGCUAUUAAAUCCUUGUAUGAACCAUCCAGAGCAAAAGCCUGAGAAAACAGAUGGGUCUCCCUUAGUGACCUGCAGAUCAACAGCCUCCCUGCCUGGCAGCUGGACCAGAAGGAGUUCAGGACUCAGGGCUCUGCAUCAGAAACAUGCUGCGUCCAUCCCCUGGAGUUCAAAGUGAGACACUGUCCCCUACAUGCCCUUCUUUGAUCGACUGUUGAGAAGACUGUUUGGGAAUGCGACCAGGAUUGCUGUCCCAGUGGAUUAAGGCAAUCCUGGAGCCAAAGCAGUAGGAUUAGGAAAGGUUUUGAGGUGGUGGGGGUGGACAAAAAAUUUAAAAGGCAUAUUUAUUUGCACUAGAGAAAUGAAUGGGUUUUUAAGGCAGAACCUAUCCUCCAAAAAAACUUUUAUAAGAAAUAUGGAGGUUGAAAUUUAAAUUUUGAAUUCAUUUCAAUGAACUAAAACUAGGUAAGUUGAUGUGGUGGUGACUGAUGAGAAAUGGUACAAUAAAAAUUUAGCCUACCAGUGACCA